rnacentral:rRNA from 1 species
AGAGUUUGAUCCUGGCUCAGAUUGAACGCUGGCGGAAUGCUUUACACAUGCAAGUCGAGCGGCAGCGCGGGGGCAACCCUGGCGGCGAGCGGCGAACGGGUGAGUAACAUAUCGGAACGUACCCCGUCGUGGGGGAUAACACAGCGAAAGCUGUGCUAAUACCGCAUACGACCUGAGGGUGAAAGCGGGGGAUCGCAAGACCUCGCGCGAUGGGAGCGGCCGAUAUCGGAUUAGCUUGUUGGUGAGGUAAAGGCUCACCAAGGCGACGAUCCGUAGCUGGUCUGAGAGGACGACCAGCCACACUGGAACUGAGACACGGUCCAGACUCCUACGGGAGGCAGCAGUGGGGAAUUUUGGACAAUGGGGCAACCCUGAUCCAGCCAUUCCGCGUGAGUGAAGAAGGCCUUCGGGUUGUAAAGCUCUUUCAGCAGGAACGAAACGGUGGCCACUAAUACUGGCUACUAAUGACGGUACCUGAAGAAGAAGCACCGGCUAACUACGUG